rnacentral:rRNA from 1 species
UCCCUAGUACGGCGAGUGAAGCGGGAAGAGCUCAAAUUUGAAAUCUGGUAGCCUUCGGUUGCCCGAGUUGUAAUCUAGAGAAGUGUUUUCCGCGUUGGCCCAUGUACAAGUCCCUUGGAACAGGGCGUCAUAGAGGGUGAGAAUCCCGUCCUUGACAUGGACCCCCAAUGCUUUGUGAUACACUUUCAACGAGUCGAGUUGUUUGGGAAUGCAGCUCAAAAUGGGUGGUGAAUUCCAUCUAAAGCUAAAUAUUGGCGAGAGACCGAUAGCGAACAAGUACCGUGAGGGAAAGAUGAAAAGCACUUUGGAAAGAGAGUUAAACAGUACGUGAAAUUGUUGAAAGGGAAACGAUUGAAGUCAGUCAUGCUCUUUGGAUUAAGCCGUUCUGCGGUGUAUUUCAUUGAGCGGGGUCAACAUCAGUUUUGAUCGCUGGAAAAGGGCAGGAGGAAGGUAGCACUCUCGGGUGAACUUAUAGCCUCUUGUCGUAUACAGUGAUUGGGACUGAGGAACGCAGCAUGCCUUUUGGCCGGGAUUCGUCCACGUACAUGCUUAGGAUGUUGACAUAAUGGCUUUAAACGACCCGUCUUGAAACACGGACCAC